rnacentral:lncRNA from 1 species
GUAAGACGGCGCUAUUCCGCUGUAACAGCUUCCGGCGGGUCCUGGAUGUUGAUGUCCUGCAUCUAACGCGGUGUAACCCCCGAAGCCGAGCGAGCUCCGGAGGAAUUUCAGUAUCUGCUACGGUAACUUCAUCAGCCCGCCAAGAUGGCGAUGCAAGCGGCCAAGAGGGCGAACAUUCGACUUCCACCUGAAGUAAAUCGGAUAUUGUAUAUAAGAAAUUUGCCAUACAAAAUCACAGCUGAAGAAAUGUAUGAUAUAUUUGGGAAAUAUGGACCUAUUCGUCAAAUCAGAGUGUGAGUCUUACUGAGUCAUUUAAAGAAAAUGAUAGCAUAAUCUGUAAUUUCAGAAUUAUAGCUGACGAUGAGGCCACCCUGUGCUGUGUGCAGUGCGACAACCCUUACCAAGAGCCUUGAGACUAGCAGAUUGAGAUCAGAGAGAUGAGAUCUUUUUGAAGGGGGGAGAAAACCUACUGAGACCCUAAUGAUCCAGCUCAAUGAGAGCCAAGAAGAGGAUUUGAGUUUCCUCAAAGCAUUCAUUGAAGUAGUAAUGAAUGCUUUGAGGAAACUGGUUGAGAAGGGAAAGAACUAACAUUUAUUGCAUACCUGUUAUUUGUAAAGCUAGCUUGUUACACUGUGUUUUUUGUAUGCAGCAGCUCUAUAAUUUUCUCAACAAUCAUCACUGUCUCUUUAAAUAACCCCAGAAUUUCUGAAUAAACUAAGU